GAUUAACGCUGGCGGCGUGCAUAACACAUGCAAGUCGAACGAUGAAACUUAAAUGAUUUCUUCGGUAUGAACUUAAGUGGAUUAGUGGCGGACGGGUGAGUAACGCGUGAGUAACCUGCCUUACACAAGGGGAUAGCCGUUGGAAACGACGAAUAAUACCCUAUGAAACUAUCACUUCGCAUGAAGCGAUAGUCAAAGUGUUAGCGGUGUAAGAUGGACUUGCGUCUGAUUAGCUAGUUGGUGAGAAAAAAGCCCACCAAGGCAACGAUCAGUAGCCGGCUUGAGAGAGUGUACGGCCACAUUGGGACUGAGACACGGCCCAGACUCCUACGGGAGGCAGCAGUGGGGAAUUUUGCACAAUGGGGGAAACCCUGAUGCAGCGACGCCGCGUGAUUUAGAAGGCCUUCGGGUUGUAAAAAUCUUUUGUAUAGGAAGAAAAUGACAGUACUAUACGAAUAAGGUCCGGCUAAUUACGUG
rnacentral:rRNA from 1 species